UACGUAGGGUGCGAGCGUUAAUCGGAAUUACUGGGCGUAAAGCGUGCGCAGGCGGUUCGUUGUGUCGGCGGUGAAAGCCCCGGGCUCAACCUGGGAACUGCAUUUGAAACUGGCGGGCUUGAGUGUGGCAGAGGGGGGUGGAAUUCCGCGUGUAGCAGUGAAAUGCGUAGAGAUGCGGAGGAACACCGAUGGCGAAGGCAGCCCCCUGGGCCAACACUGACGCUCAGGCACGAAAGCGUGGGGAGCAAACAGG
rnacentral:rRNA from 1 species